UACGUAGGGUGCAAGCGUUAAUCGGAAUUACUGGGCGUAAAGCGUGCGCAGGCGGUGAUGUAAGACAGAUGUGAAAUCCCCGGGCUCAACCUGGGAACUGCAUUUGUGACUGCAUCGCUAGAGUACGGCAGAGGGGGGAUGGAAUUCCGCGUGUAGCAGUGAAAUGCGUAGAUAUGCGGAGGAACACCGAUGGCGAAGGCAAUCCCCUGGGCCUGUACUGACGCUCAUGCACGAAAGCGUGGGAGCAAACAGG
rnacentral:rRNA from 1 species